rnacentral:rRNA from 1 species
UACGUAGGGGGCAAGCGUUGUCCGGAAUUAUUGGGCGUAAAGAGCUCGUAGGCGGCUUGUCACGUCGGGUGUGAAAGCCCGGGGCUUAACCCCGGGUCUGCAUUCGAUACGGGCUAGCUAGAGUGUGGUAGGGGAGAUCGGAAUUCCUGGUGUAGCGGUGAAAUGCGCAGAUAUCAGGAGGAACACCGGUGGCGAAGGCAGGUCUCUGGGCCAUAACUGACGCUGAGAAGCGAAAGCAUGGGGAGCGAACAGG